rnacentral:lncRNA from 1 species
AUGGGACUCUUUUGUUGGCGAUUCCAUGGGAGGUUCGAGACCUCUAACGUCUGGGUGGAGACUGGGAGCGCUGCUGACUCUUUCCAUGAUCUUCCUUCGAUGGAGGCUCCUUGACUUCCUCUUCUUUCUUUCUUCAGCCCCCACAGGCAUUGGAGGCUCAUUUUCAAAGACUUCAUCUACCUGGGCGUACUUCUCCAUCCUGGCCAACAUCUCCAUGAAGUCGUGGGGGUAGGUCUUCUCCAGUGAGUAUCAGAGACCAUUCUUCAAGAGUCCACCCUUUAGAAUGAUAAUCAUGAUUGACUGAUCCAGAUCGUGAACUUUCAAUACGACCAUAUUGAAACGACCAAGGUAUGAUCAGAGUGAUUCUCCUUCCUUCUGCUUGCUGUUAAUCAGUGUAUCCGAUCCUUUGCAUUGCCUUCUACUGUUGACAAAAUGAGUCACGAAUAAGUAACUCAUCUAGUCAAAUGAGUGAAUGGUCUUGGACUUCAAGCUUGGAUAUUAAUGUCAGGUCUCACCCUUUAGAGUGGAUGGGAGGGAAGGCUCAGCAUAGGGCAGCAUCGGUUGCUCUAUGGAAAAGCAU